GUGCCCUUAGCUCAGCUGGAUAGAGCAUUUGACUACGAAUCAAAAGGUCAGGAGUUCGAAUCUCUUAGGGCACGCCA
rnacentral:tRNA from 7 species